UCUCGGCUUAUCACCGGCAGCCCCCCUAGAGUGCCCAACUGAAUGAUGGCAACUAAUGGCGAGGGUUGCGCUCGUUGCGGGACUUAACCCAACAUCUCACGACACGAGCUGACGACAGCCAUGCAGCACCUGUCUCUGAGCUCCCCGAAGGGCACCCCUCCAUCUCUGGAGGAUUCUCAGGAUGUCAAGACCGGGUAAGGUUCUGCGCGUUGCGUCGAAUUAAACCACAUGCUCCACCGCUUGUGCGGGCCCCGUCAAUUCCUUUGAGUUUUAGCCUUGCGGCCGUACUUCCCAGGCGGGGAACUUAAUGCGUUAGCUACGGCACCGCAGGGGUCAACACCCGCGACACCUAGUUCCCAUCGUUUACGGCGUGGACUAC
rnacentral:misc_RNA from 1 species